GGAAGACGGAGGUCCGAGGUCGAAGGCCCAGCAGCUUCGGUGUCUGGUGCGGAACCGCCUUCCAGCUGCAGCCCGGGGGCACAGGCACGCAGAAGAGACUUUCCCACAGCGGUUCCCAGAGCCCUGGAUGAGGCGUCCUCCAAAGGAUUAUGUCACCAAGUUUCUGCAGCAGAAUGAUGGUGUGAUCGAGGUAUAAAUGAAGAAUUAAGAUGAUGAUGAAAUGGGGCAGCUGCUAUGGAAAACACCAGUGGCUCUUCAAAAAAUUAAGCACACAAUUACCAGAUGGUCCAGCAACCCCACUUCUUGAUUUAUACCCAAAGGAACAAAAAGCAGGGACUCAAAGGGGUAUUUGUACAUCCUUGUUGGCAGCAGCAUUCUUCAUAAUCGCCAAAAGGGGGAGGCAGCCCGAGAGUUCCCUGACAGAUGACUGGAUAAGCAACACGUGGUUCGUCCGCACUCUGGAAUAGCAUCAGCCUUAAGGGAAGGAUUCCCUUUAAUUCAGGACAGUUCUGCUCUGCAAUAACCAUUGGACUGUUUUGUUACGCUAAGUUUUUUUGUCAUUGUAAAGCUGAAGCCCUACAAGUUUUCUCUAUGAAAUACUCUACUUUGUGCUUAAAAGAAAAAAGCAACAGCUGCCCAGGCUUAUGUGUGCUCACGGCUCAGGAGCAACACCCAUCUCUGGAAGAGAAUGCUCAGGGGUUGCAGCUGAUUCAGGCUUCAUCUGAAUCCGUAAUGAGAAGGUGCUGCCAAGAAAAAGCUCACGGCACCAGCAGAAGUGUGAGGUCCGGAAGGGAAGGAGAGCGACAGCUCAGCGCGCUUCGUGUCCCUUCCUCUGGCCUCACACAGAGCCUGCGCUGAGUUCCAGGUCCUCACUGUGAAAAAGAAGCUGCCUGCAGCCAUCGGCAGCUGAACUUGUCUACAUUGCUGGUGGGAAUGCAAAAUGGUCUGGCCAUUCUGGAAAAUAGUUUGGCAGUUUCCUCUAAAGCCGACCUGAGAGCGCUUCUGCUGAGCUGCUCAGCCGGGAGUCAGUGGAAAUCCAUGGAUUUCAAAUGGAUGAAGAUCACAGGUGACACACCCAUCAUGUGUGGCCCAGAGAAACAAAGGCCACACUCUCAUCCUUUGAUACCGGUUCAUGAAUUUCUCCUCAGGGGGAAAAGUAAGUAUCUGUCAAAUAAUGCAAUAAAGUCG
rnacentral:lncRNA from 1 species